rnacentral:rRNA from 1 species
UACGUAGGGUCCAAGCGUUAUCCGGAAUUACUGGGCGUAAAGCGUCUGUAGGCGGCUUUUCAAGUCGGGUGCGAAAUCUUGUGGCUCAACCAUAUAGAUGUUGCCCGAAACUGAUAAGCUAGAGAUAGGUAGAGGCAAGUGGAACUUGCGGUGUAGGAGUGACAUCCGUAGAUAUCGCAAAGAACACCAAUGGCGAAGGCAGCUUGCUGGGCCUUAUCUGACGCUCAGAGACGAAAGCGUGGGGAGCGAACGGG